rnacentral:rRNA from 1 species
UACGUAGGGGGCGAGCGUUGUCCGGAUUUAUUGGGCGUAAAGAGCUCGUAGGCGGCUUGGCAAGUCGGGUGUGAAACCUCCAGGCUUAACCUGGAGACGCCACUCGAUACUGCCAUGGCUAGAGUCCGGUAGGGGACCACGGAAUUCCUGGUGUAGCGGUGAAAUGUGUAGAGAUCGGGAGGAACACCGGUGGCGAAGGCGGGUCUCUGGACAGUUCCUGACGCUGAGGCACGAAGGUCAGGGGAGCAAACGGG